GACGAACGCUGGCGGCGUGCUUAACACAUGCAAGUCGAGCGGGAUCCAACCGGUGGCAACACCGGGGAAGAUCUAGCGGCGAACGGGUGAGUAACACGUGAGCAACCUGCCCCGAAGACUGGGAUAACACCGGGAAACCGGUGCUAAUACCGGAUGUCGUCAUUAGGCCGCAUGACCUGAUGAUGAAAGGAUUCAUCGCUUCGGGAGGGGCUCGCGGGCUAUCAGCUUGNGGUGGGGGUAACGGCCUACCAAGGCGACGACGGCUAGCUGGUCUGAGAGGACGACCAGCCACACUGGGACUGAGACACGGCCCAGACUCCUACGGGAGGCAGCAGUGGGGAAUCUUGCGCAAUGGGCGAAAGCCUGACGCAGCGACGCCGCGGUGGGGGA
rnacentral:rRNA from 1 species